CUGCUGCAUAGGAUAUUAGAAAUCUGACAAAUGACCCAGGAAUUCCAGUUUCUGCUUCCACGUUUUCAUGUUGAGGGCAUAGUGCUAUAAUUCAAGUUCCUUUUCUGUGACCUGGCCUAUGUUUGAAGAGAGAAAUGAAGCUAAACAAGGUAAUUUCUGAAGAAUGAUUAUAGAUGCGUGAAAACAGAGGUUAUGCUCAUCUUUAUAUUUCCUGGAGCAAGCGCAGAAAGCAGAAAAGUAAUGCCUUUGCCAGUAAGACACCAAUAUUGGAAAUCAGAUGGAUUGAGUCCCUGCUGAGUGGCCAUUAAGGGAAGCACGGUCUGCUAGGUCUUCAUACUGAUGUUUUCAACACCGUUGGAAGCAUAACUAUCCGCACUGAUGACUGGGCAACAACACUUUGGUCUACCAGCCAGCUCCAGGGCUUCAACUAAUUUUUAUUAUCAACAAGAUUAUUUUCAGGAUUCAAGUUCAACACAAGAUUCAGGAGUCUAAAGCUAUGUCCCUCUUCCCUCUGUUGAUGCUAAAACCAUAGCAGUAACAAGUCUUGACUUUCCUCAUCCCAACCCUGGCCAGAUCCUCUUUUUCACCAUGAAGUGCCUCUUGGACCAGAACUAUGAAAAAAGCUGUAGACACCCAUUUUCUUGAUUCAGAGAACCCAGUCUACUUCCUCCAAGUUUUGAAAGCGAAGAACAAAGUCCAACUGACCUCAGUGUCCUUGGACUUAAUGAUACCCAGGGCCCAACCAGAAUGAGAGUCUCUGUGAAUGAAGCACAUGCCAAUUUUGGUUAUAACUUGUCUAUUAAAUAACAUUUUUGUGUUGAAUACAUGUUGUGACAUCUACUCAGUAAUUAACUCCAGGGAAUUUCAAAUUCUUGGGGAGGCUGUAAUGGGUGGGCAGUUCACACAAUAUUCACUAUGUAUUCCUUGCAAGUCUAAGUGAACCAAAUUUCUCAUUUGAAUCUGCCUUCUGAAAAUUCUUUCCCAAUUCUCUCUAUUCUUUUCCCUAUG